rnacentral:lncRNA from 1 species
GUUUACUUAUGGGUAGCCUAAAAGAUAAAAAUGCGAUUGUAAUCGUAGGCCUUUCUAUGUUAUCACAUAAAUGGGUAGAAUGUUUGAUCAUGUACAAUAACGUUAAAAAAAUACAGAACAAACUUUUAGCCAUUUUAUAUACAUGGUCUUUUAUAUUAUCUUUGCCAUUAGGAGUCUUUAUUGCUAUAUUCUCCUUUCCGUCAAAUGAUUUUGUAGAAAUAAUUUUUAGUUCAAUUGCUUGUGGAUUUUUCCUAUAUCUUUCCUUCAAUAUGACUAAAGAUAUCGAAGUUACACAUAGUAAUAAAUAUAUUAUAUCUAUUAGUUAUUUCCUCGGAAUUGUAGUCAUGUCCAGUCUUAUGCUAUUUUUUAGUUUUUAUGAAGAAUCCAAUAUAAACUGGAUUAAUUAAUUAGUAUUUUAUUUUUUUUUAUUUCGUGUUUAAUUAAAUUUGUUUUUAUUUUUUUGUUAAUUUUUUGAAAUAUGUAUCUUUUUCAAUAAAAAUUAACUAUACUGUAAUAUAGUUUUCUUA